GACAGUGUGGUGUAGUGGUUUCAGUAUUGAACUAUGACUCCUGAGGCCAGGGUUUGAACCUCUGUUCAGCCA